rnacentral:lncRNA from 1 species
UUUUUUUUUUUUUUUUGCUAGAAAUGUGUUUGGCGGCUUUUUAAAAAAAGAUUUAUUUAUUUAUUUAUUUAUUUAUUAUGUGAAUACACUGUAGCUGUGCAGAUGGUUGUGAGCCUUCAUGUGGUUGUUGGAAAUUGAAUUUUUAGGACCUCUGUUCGCUCCAGUCAGCCCUGCUCCCUCCGGUUAACUCCACUCGUUCAGUCCCUGCUUGCUCCAGCUGCAUAUACAUCUGCCUGCCUGAAGAGGGCAUCAGAUCCCCCUGUAGAUGGUUGUGAGCCACCGUGUGGUUGCUGGGAUUUGAACUCAGGACCUUUGGAAGAGCAGUCAGUGCUCUUACCCACUGAGCCAUCUCACAAGCCCACCUGGCAGAUCUUUUACAAUUUAGGUUUUGCUUUCCCUGCAUUUCUCUAUUUGUGUGUGUGUGUGUGUGUGUGUGCGCACGCACGUGUCUCAGCACAUGUGUGGCAAUCAGGGGAUGGUUUGGGGGGCCUUCUCUCUGCCUUCCAUUUCACUUUAGGAAUGCAGCAGUGCAGAUGUGUCUUAUUUGGCUUUUUAUGGAGGUGCUGGGUAUCGAACUCUGGUCCUCAGACUUGCAGGACAAGCACUUUUAUUUUUAUUUGCCUUAUCCAUCUCACUGGCUCCACCAAGAAAGUGUCCAAAAGUUGCUUGGAUAUAAGACUUGUGGCUAACACAGUCUGGAGAGAGACGAUACUGCUUAGGUAUAUGUGAGUGUAUGUAUGCAUAUGUGUAGGGAAGUAUGCCUUUCUGGAGCUAAAACAGGAGGGCACCACAAAGCACUGCAUGGAGGCAUCAGCAGACAGCCGAGGAGAGGGAAGAGAACGCCUCUUGUCACCUCUGAAGCCUUGAAGUUGUGUGUAGGUGCAUUAACCUGCAUUGGCUAUUCAACAACACACCAUUCACAUGGU